CUGAUCCAGCAAUGCCGCGUGAGUGAAGAAGGCCUUCGAGUUGUAAAGCUCUUUUGUCAGGGAAGAAACAGCAGCUCUAACACAGUCUGCGAAUGACGGUACCUGAAGAAUAAGCACCGGCUAACUACGUGCCAGCAGCCGCGGUAAUACGUAGGGUGCAAGCGUUAAUCGGAAUUACUGGGCGUAAAGCGUGCGCAGGCGGUUAUGUAAGACAGGCGUGAAAUCCCCGGGCUUAACCUGGGAAUUGCGCUUGUGACUGCAUAGCUAGAGUAUGUCAGAGGGGGGUAGAAUUCCACGUGUAGCAGUGAAAUGCGUAGAGAUGUGGAGGAAUACCAAUGGCGAAGGCAGCCCCCUGGGAUAAUACUGACGCUCAUGCACGAAAGCGUGGGGAGCAAACAGGAUUAGAUACCCUGGUAGUCCACGCCCUAAACGAUGCUGACUAGUUGUUCGGGAAUUUAUUCCUGAGUAACGUAGCUAACGCGUGAAGUCAGCCGCCUGGGGAGUACGGUCGCAAGAUUAAAACUCAAAGGAAUUGACGGGGACCCGCACAAGCGGUGGAUGAUGUGGAUUAAUUCGAUGCAACGCGAAAAACCUUACCUACCCUUGACAUGCCACUAACGAAGUAGAGAUACAUUAGGUGCCCGUAAGGGAAAGUGGACACAGGUGCUGCAUGGCUGUCGUCAGCUCGUGUCGUGAGAUGUUGGGUUAAGUCCCGCAACGAGCGCAACCCUUGUCUUUAGUUGCUACGCAAGAGCACUCUAAAGAGACUGCCGGUGACAAACCGGAGGAAGGUGGGGAUGACGUCAAGUCCUCAUGGCCCUUAUGGGUAGGGCUUCACACGUCAUACAAUGGUGCAUACAGAGGGUUGCCAACCCGCGAGGGGGAGCUAAUCUCAGAAAAUGCAUCGUAGUCCGGAUCGUAGUCUGCAACUCGACUACGUGAAGCUGGAAUCGCUAGUAAUCGCGGAUCAGAAUGUCGCGGUGAAUACGUUCCCGGGUCUUGUACACACCGCCCGUCACACCAUGGGAGUGGGUUUUGCCAGAAGCCGUUAGCCUAACCGCAAGGAGGGCGACGACCACGGCAGGGUUCAUGACUGGGGUGAAGUCGUAACAAGGU
rnacentral:rRNA from 1 species